CUUUGUAACCAGGGGGGCCUCACCAGGCACCCGACGGACUACUAUUAGAAGGGGCUGCAACCCCAUGAAGGCAACCCCAAAAUAUGCAAUCAGAAAACGGUGUACCAAGAUGUCUCUGUUCAGUAACGGCCCUCAUGUUCACGGCUGGUUUACUUGGGACACCCUCUCAAGGAAGUUGGCCUCUGCGAGCAGACAGCUAGGGUUUUCCACCUGUUCAUUUCAUAAACAGGUGUCAAAUGCCUGCUGAGCCCCAGACAUCUUCUUCACAAUCCUCACACCACGGAGCUUCCACACCCAGCAAGGUCUGCCCCACAAAGAAACGGUAGCAGCGGGAGGCAGUGUUCUGCAAGGAGCCUGGCAAGGAUAAUUUGGCACAGAGAAGCCCAGUGGGAUGCAGAGAAUGGAGUGUUCACCAUCAGACUGGAGUGACUUCAUGCUAAUCUGCUUUCGGCCACUACAAUAAAUACCUGAGACAUAUGCAGAGAAAAGUAUUGAGACUCACAGGCUUGGAGGUCCUGGGCAAUGAUGAGCCAUCUCAGUGGUGUUAGGCCUGUGGUGAGACAGCACCACGUGGUGGGAAUACACCCCCUCACCCCAGGAGCCAGAGAACGAGAGGUGGGGUCCUGAGAUCUGUGAAGAUCUUCCCUCCCAAGAUCUUACCCCCUCCCUCCUCUGAAAGUGCCACCACCAUCCGCCAGCACCACUCUGGACCCCCAACACACGGACCCACAUAGGGAACAUUCAAGACUCAAGCCAUAGCAUCUUUAUUCAGGGAAAAGGCUGCUGAGGGACUUGGGAAGGUGGAGGAGCUCCGCGAGAUGGACCGGAACUGGACAGGGACAGCGCUGGAGGGGCUGCACGAAGGACCCCAGGAUCUGAACGAGGUCCUGCCUGCCUCUUUCAGCAGAACGCCGCUAGAUGCCCCCGGAGGUCCGGCAGGCCAUGGGGCGUGCCCAGGCGAGUGGGGGCGUGGUUAAGGCGGGGCUCUGAGGUGGAGGCGUGGUUAUGCGGUCGUGGGAGGAGCCGGGGCGGGAGGUGGUGCCGCGGAGGGGAUCCGCGGCCCGGGCGAGAGCUCGCCAGCCCCGCCGCGAUG